GAAAUUGUUUCUGAGGUUUUCUCCACAGCAUUACAGUGCUUCCAAAGGGCACGAGGUCACCCAGAACCAGGAUAUUCUCCUCCACUGAACACAAGGGAUGGCAGUAAUGCUGAUCCCAGGGGUCAUUUCUAACCCCACAAACCAUCGACCAAUCACACUUUGAGACAAAGCACUCCAAGACGGGUGAAGGAUUUUCCCGCUUUCCUGAGAGAGGAGAUGAGAAAAGGCCUGGAGAGUGACUGGUGAGCAAACAGCCAGCUGAUUCAGGUGAUAUGUGAUGAGCAGAUAUACUGACUUCAACUAUUCUUUUGUGUAACAAAGUCUGGCAUACUGAGUUACCCAAGUGCAGGAGAUCAUGUGCCCUGGAAGCCUGAAGCAAUGGUGAAGGAUGUACCUGCAGUUGACUCUGUACUAUGCUGCAGAAUCUUCUUUGAACAACUUAUGAACAGAGCACCUGUCAACAACUGCCCUUCUCCCAAGUACAAUAAGCACCUAGAAUGCCCACCAUUGAGGGCCGCUCAUGAAAAGCAAUUCUUAAAGCGUGGAGACUUCUGACCCACCAUAUAGGAAGGAACCAGUACAGGAUUCUCAAGAAUUACAUAGGCACAUGUGAAUUGCCAUAUCUGCUCAAGUGAGGGAUCCAACAAGUCCAGUGUCCUGUCCAGAGAUUCUCAUAUAAUCACUUGACUCCACAAGCUGCAGCUUUUAGAAAGACACAAAAUCAAGCAUACCCAAAUGUUCUAAUUUUAGAACAACAACAUCUGUAAAAACAUUUUAGCAACAUCUGUGGAAUUAAAUAAUCUGAAUGGUGUGAAUUUACUCUCGCACACAGAAUGAAAACCCAAACAAUAUAAAGGGGUAAGUACAAAUUUUGUAAUACAUUUUCCCCCAA